rnacentral:pre_miRNA from 1 species
CAGCUAUAGGCUCAGAGGCAGAGCUCUGGGGAGUCUCCACCAUGGCCUGGACCCCUCUCCUUCUCCCCCUCCUCACUCUCUGCACAGGUGC